GCCCUCGUGGCGGAAUUGGCAGACGCGCUAGGUUCAGGUCCUAGUCCGGGUAAACCGGGUGGGUGUUCAAGUCACCCCGAGGGCA
rnacentral:tRNA from 1 species